rnacentral:lncRNA from 1 species
CAUGUAUUUUAAGAAGGUUAUUUGAUUAUUUAAGUCAAUCUAGAAAUUAGAAUCCAGUAAGUUAGGGUUCAAUUUCUCGAAAUUUCUAAACUUCAAAUAUUCCCUUUAUUUUGAAAUCAAGAUAACAAAAUAUUGUAUCCAGUAAGUUAGGAUCAAACAUUUUGAAAUCUUAAAAACUUUAUUUUAAUAAUUGCAUGGUUUUAAUAAAAUGGACACUUGAUUAUCUAAAUUCAUCGAGAAGAAUCGAAGCCCAGUGAGUUAGGGCACAAUUUUCUCG